rnacentral:rRNA from 1 species
UACGGGGGGGCAAGCGUUGUUCGGCAUUACUGGGCGUAAAGGGCUCGUAGGUGGCCAACUAAGUCAGACGUGAAAUCCCUCGGCUUAACCGGGGAACUGCGUCUGAUACUGGAUGGCUUGAGUUUGGGAGAGGGAUGCGGAAUUCCAGGUGUAGCGGUGAAAUGCGUAGAUAUCUGGAGGAACACCGGUGGCGAAGGCGGGUCUCUGGGCCGAUAUUGACGCUGAGGAGCGAAAGCGUGGGGAGCGAACAGG